UAGCCAAAUAAAUUUCUUCCUAACUAGAAGGCCAAUAGAUUGUUAUGUAAGGUUAUAACAGGGAGAGCCUAACCACACAACAUUGGUUAGUCGUCAUGGAUAUGUGCCUCAUUAUGUAGAAUCGUAAGAAAGAUGAGUUUAUUUGCCCUAGGAUAAGGUGGUGGAGCUUAAAAGGAGAUACCUUGAAAUCAUUUACUGACAAAGUGGUCAAACAAGGAAAGUGGGAUUUUGAGGGAGACAUUAAUACGAUGUGGAACGAGAUGACUAUUUGUAUUAAGAAGGUUACUAAAGAUGUCCUGGGAGUAUCGAAAGGAAAAUGUCAUUCCUCUAGGGAUUAGGGAGACUUGGUGGUAGGAUGAGGAGGUUCAAGCAGCCAUUAAGACUAAGAAAGCUAAUCUUAAGAGAUGGCAAAGGACUAAUGAUGUAAAGGAGGAUCUAAAAAGAUUAUGGGAAAAGCAAAGGCGAAGAAAUAUAAAGUUCUUUAUAACAAUAUGAGCACAAAGGAAG